rnacentral:lncRNA from 1 species
UAAAAUUCCUUUAUCUUAUCUUCUGCUUCUUUCCCUUGAGAACAAUUCUGGGAACCAUCUUCCACAUUCUUAUAUUUCAAAAUCAAAAUACACAAUUUCAGCUCAAAUUUUAAAAUGUCACACAUCUCGAGUUUCGACCCAAAACUAACUAUUGGGUUUUCUGAGUUCGUGUUUUUUUUGCUUCGAGUUAUAGGAAUGUUUCGAGGUGGGGUUUUGUAGGAAUUUUUUAAGUUUUUUUCGAAUCUGGCGAACCCGCUAUCGGAAGAAGAGCUUCGUUCCAUUGAUUCCGACCGAGAAGCUAUCAAAUCGCUACGAAAGGGCAGAUGCCUCCGAGAUAUUCGUCACCUCUUCAUCGGUCUGUUCUUGAGGAAACGAAUCGAUAGGCAAAUCGUAGAGCGAGAGCGAUUCAUCCUCAUCGCCGCCGUAGUGUUCGACCCAUUUCUCCGCCGAUGAUUGUUAAAUUACUUGGAGAAAAAAGAUUGGAUUUUUAAGGAU